GGCGCGUGCUCAGAGCAGGUGGGGCCCGGGUCCGAGGCCCCCGCUCCGCGCCCCGGAGGCCGGAAGCAGGUCCAGCUCGUCCACGUGGAGGUGCUGGUUGGGAGGCUCGGUGGGUUUGUGUGACGACAGGAAAGGCGUUUGAAAGCUCCUUGACGGUGUGCGGUACACUCACUCCUGUGCGCGCUGAGUGCGCACAGCACCGUGAGCACGUGUCGAAAUGCCCCAUUUCCGAAGACCGGAGGAACCGAGUGCAGGCUGCGGUCUACCCAGAACAGAAAGUAAACUACAGCUUCAUCAGGGAAAAUGCACGGUUCUCGAACGGCGGCGCCGAGACCUGAGCCGUGAGUGCGGACGGUGCUCAGAGCCCGGCAGGCCCGGGGUCCUACCCCGCAGAGCCGAGCUCUGCUGCCGCUUCGCCCGCCCGGGCACAGCUCGGGCGUCUCUCAGGGCCUCUGCCUGCUUCCUCCCGGGCAAAACGGGCAGGACAAGGCUAAUGCCGGUGAGGAGCCCGCUCCGCCCGAAGCACAGCGGCGAUGCGAUUCCCACUGAACGUCUCUGAGAACUCGGUGCCCCGCAGCAUCAGUUAACCACACGGAAAAGUGCUGCGGCGCGCCAGGUAUCUGCUGCGGGUGUUCUCAUGGAAAGGAAACACCCCCUGGGGCCAGCAGCUAACAGGCAAGCCAUCACCCAGCCUGAGGGCUAAGGGCCACGUACAGUGUCCACAGGAACACUUGUGGACCACCGAGGAAAAAUCAAGACUCCCAGAAUGCCCUCUAGGGAGUCCACCUUAGUAAACAAAUAUAUGGUGAGGACUUGAGAUCUGUUUCUGUGAAACUGACCACCCCAAAACCAGGCGGCUUCAGUUGCUCAUGAUCCUGUGACCAGCAGCUCACACAGCUCCAGUCUGCUUCAUGGGGUGUGGGCUGGACCCACUCCUAUGGACCACCAGCAGGGACCACGCAGGAACCAGGCUGUGUGUCACCUGCGGUCCGCAGGCUGGCCAAGGCUGCUUCUCAAGCCGUCUUCUGCAAGCGAGCCAUUGUUUGGUGCAGCCGGACCAAGACCUUCACACUCAGGCUGCUGUGGACGCAGACCCGGCCAGGAGCCCAGGACUGCUGGCGGAGCCGGGCUUGCGGCAUUCUCCCUGACUUGGAGCGGUGGCGCGCAGAGCACGCCCCUUUACGCUGUUGCGGGGAAAACAACUUCCAGCCACUGGAGCCAAGACGCAGGACGUUGCCACACCCACGCAGCACUGUGAGGUCCAGCGCCUUAUUGAGGGAUCCUAGAGGCUGCAGAGGAAAGCUCUCCGGCCGCCUGCUCACGGUCAGUGCCAGACGCCGGGCGCUGGGGAUGGCCCGUUGGUCUCCCCAGAGGUGCUCGCUGCGGAGCCACAUGGGGGCUACGUCCCAGGAGCUCUUCCAUGUGAACUGCGGCCAGCAGGCCUGGCCCCGCCCUGCCCCCCAGACACUCAGUCUGUUGCUUACCUCACUCAUGCAGAUUGUGAAAAUAAAAUGUCACUUUGGUGUCCUGGAAAACAAGCCUGAUGCUCAAACGCUUGCCUCGGGAUUCCAGCUGCCCCACCCCCACCCAUCUGCCCCAGUGACAAGGUGUUAGGUUUUAUGGAAGUGUAUGAACCUGUCGGCUGGGUCUGGGGCGGGUCUAUACAAACACCAGAAGACCACAUUGGCCACUUUUUCCCUCUAGUUGACAUGCCCACGUAGCUGGAUCCCACAAGCUGAAUUAGAAAUCACUCUGGGCACCCGAGGCCCUGCAGGACAGAACAGGACUUGUGACCCUGGGACACUGGCCUGCAGCAGAUUCCGGAGAUGGCGUGUGACCUGAAGAGCCACUCAGGCACUGUGGGAAGGAGAAAGGAGGUGCCCAGCCUGACCACACUGGAGCUGCUUGCCUUCAUUCACACCCUGGGCUUCCAGAAAGACUUUCAGCGGAAGGAAGUGUUCCAGGCCUACAAGCAGAGAAACCACUCCUGUGUCCAGGUCCCCAGCAGAGUGGCAGCCAGAGGCCUGAACCACAUGAUCUGUGCUCAGAGGGGAGCUGGCGGCUCUGGGCCACCCAGCUGGCCUGGCCUGGCUUUCUGCCCCUCCUUUCCAGGCCUUGGGCCCAUGACACCUUCUGCUCACACACCGUGACCAUGUGGUCCCAGCACUGCCUCCCCGUGGCGAUCCCAUUCCUGACAUGUCCUGGGGAGACUACGCCCUGGCCAUAGUCAGGGUUUAUACAGGCUGGUGCCUUGAGUGUGGGUUUUAAUCAUUAAACUCCAAGAACAACUUUUUUCGUGUUCUUUUGAAGUCUGUUCCACUGUGGUCCCCGUGUCCAACAAAAUGUAUCUGAGAAAACGUGUUU
rnacentral:lncRNA from 1 species